rnacentral:rRNA from 1 species
GUCCUCUUGUAUUUUUAGGAGGUCAGGCCUGCCCAGUGAGAUUUUUAACGGCCGCGGUAUAUUGACCGUGCAAAGGUAGCAUAAUCAUUAGUCUUUUAAUAGGAGGCUGGAAUGAAGGGUUUAACGAGAAAUUCCCUGUCUCAAUUGCAUUAAUAGAACUUAGCUUUUAAGUUAAAAGGCUUAAAUUUUGUUGGAGGACGAGAAGACCCUAUAGAGCUUUACAUUUUUAUUUAAUAAUUUGGUAUGUUUAAUAAUUGGUAUUAAUUUAUAAAAUUGUUUUGUUGGGGUGACAAAAAAUAUAUAUUUAACUUUUGCUAUUUUAUUCACAUUGAUUUAUGAAUGUUGGAUCCAACAUGGUUGAUCAUUAGAUUAAGUUACCUUAGGGAUAACAGCGUAAUCUUUUCUUAGAGUUCAAAUUCACGAGAAGGCUUGCGACCUCGAUGUUGGAUUAAGAUUAUAAUUGGGUGCAGUAGCUUGAUUAAUAGGUCUGUUCGACCUUUAAAUUCUUACAUGAUCUGAGUUCAGACCGG